UAUUAAGUCUGCUUCUUUUUUUCUGAUACAAAAGAACUUCAGAAUCUCUUCUUCUGCUCUCAUACUCUUUUCUUUUCUGCUUUAUUCUAAGUCUACAUUGCAAAGAUCUUCUUGACCCCAUUUUUUUUUAUCAUCGUUUCGCCAAUAUCAUGCCAAUGCAUUCUGCUCAGGAAAGCAGGAACCGCCUUGGACGACUCUUCCAGCACAAAGUUUUCAGGAAUGAGGAGGAAGCAGCUAUAAUACAACAACAAGUAUACUGUAGAUAUCCAACUCAUGAGGCCUUAUAGUACAACUGACGCUUCAGAAGACGCUAGUUGAGAUGAUCUUUAACCCUAUUGGGGUCAUUUUGGUUGAAAUUUGAAGACAUGAUGGGAGAUUCCCAGCCUUGGACAAGGCCAAAAGUUGUUGCAGUAACUGAAACCAAUGCAUCGGCUUGUGCAGUCACAUUGGUCUGCUGUUGCAUUUGAUUCUGGUUGGCGAAAGCUUCUUCGUUUAUCAAUGAAUUCAGAAAGGAGGAGAAGACAUCAUCAGUGCAGUAAUUGAUAUCCUCAUCUUCCUCAUUGCUUAUCCCUUGGUUUUGGUUGCUUCUCAUUUCUAUUCCAGAAUCCUCGCAAUUAAGCAGACUGGUGAAUCCAUGGGCCAUUGCUGUCUCAGUUUGAUAGUGAUGAAGAGUAUUAUUGCUCUGGAAAUACUCAUUUUCUUUGUGAGCGGUGAUUUGACCGCUACUAGUCUCUUCCAAGCUGGAAGAAGCAGGAUUAUUUGGCUUAGGGAUUGUAGCACCCCCACGGUUUGCCUUGGAGGAAGAAGAAGCUUUGAGAUCGCUUGGUGACUGUUGAGGGUUUAAAGGCUUGUGGGUUCUUGGAUCUAUUCCUUGGUUGAUCAACUUCUUACUCAGGGAAAUGUUGAACUACCGAUUGCCCAGAAGGCGAUGAAGGCGCAGAAUGAGAUCCUCCUCAUCAGGGGCGAUCUGCCCUCGUUUCACGGAGGGUCGGAGAUAGUUCAUCCAACGGAGGCGACAGCUUUUGCCGCAACGCAGGAGCCCCGCCCGCUUCGGCAGAGUCCGCCACCGUCCUUCACCUUCCCUCUUGAUGUAACUGGCCAAUAACUCAUCCUCUUCUGGGGUCCAUGGCCCCCUCUUCAGCCCUACCUUGAUGCAGCAGGGAGUCUUGGCUCCGCUGUUGUUUCUUGUCGUUGUCGUCGUUAUUUUUGUCGCCGGCGUUGUUGCUGUGGCUGGGUUUCUCAUGUUUUGGGUUUGAAGUACUAGUUAAGUUUCCUCAUCUAUUAUAAAUCUUUCUCUCUCAGGCUUUGGCUUCUGCUUUUGUUUGGGUGUGGUGAUGGGAUUGGCUGAGUUUUGGGACAUUAUUUUAUGAUUGAUCAGCGAUGGCUUUUUCCCCUC